GCUUACUUCAUUAGUGUUUACAUUAAAAUUGGAACAAUACAGAGAAGAUUAGCGCAGUCCCUGCAUAAGGAUAACAUGCAAAUUCAUGAAGUGUUCCAUAUAUAA